rnacentral:rRNA from 1 species
UACGUAGGGUGCGAGCGUUAAUCGGAAUUACUGGGCGUAAAGCGUGCGCAGGCGGUUCGUUGUGUCGGCGGUGAAAGCCCCGGGCUCAACCUGGGAAUGGCCGUUGAAACUGGCGAACUGGAGUGUGGCAGAGGGGGGUGGAAUUCCGCGUGUAGCAGUGAAAUGCGUAGAGAUGCGGAGGAACACCGAUGGCGAAGGCAGCCCCCUGGGCUGACACUGACGCUGAGGCACGAAGGCCAGGGGAGCAAACGGG